UCUCCCUGAAGGAAGUAUUAUAAACCCCAUCUGUGUUUUAGACAUGAGAAACCUGAGAUUUGAGCAAAUGUAAUGAGCGAAUUCCAUCUAUCAUUCUAGGUCUAGUGUUGGAUGAUGUUCCUGCCGUACUAUGCAAACUGGUCACAGGCAUCUCUUCACUUGUCGGUAGACACAUUUAGGAGCCAGACACCAAGGAUUGGCUAAAGACACAGAGCUAACUAUGAAGAGGAGCUUGGAGCUCGUGUCCUGCUGGAGGGAGGAACUGGCACGUGGACGAAGUGAUAACACAGGGAACCCAUCUUACCACAUACAGAUCUUCCUAGAAGAAUAUGCUGAUAAGAAGUACCAAUCCAAGUGGCGACGUCUCCAGCACUCUCCCAGGACCCUUGCAGAACACCUUUCCUUAUCAGCUCCUCUCCCUCUGACCUUGUCUACCACUCGGCAGUAGAAGUUCUCUUCACUUCAUGUAUCAGAUGCCCUUUCAACUAGAUUCCACUGAUACAAUCCCUGCAAUUUCCAUAACUGUCUUGAAAGCAGUGCAUUAAACUGAAAAUCAGACAAUGAAGUUGAAACUGACCUGCCUUCAAACAAUAGUGCUGUAAUGCACGCUUCCUCUGACCCUGGUGUGUUAUGUAAGUCUCUCUGCCUAUGCCUUCUGUGGUGAAAAGGUCCUUUUAGAAGGCUUGUACGGAGCAUUAUACAUGGAGUGUCUGGAAUCUAAUACGCACUCAACAAAUGCUCAUCCAAACCCUUGACUCGCCAGUCAAUUAAUCCACACGGAAGAAAGAAAAGCAAAUGAAAAUCUUUGGGGACAUAUUUUUUGUUUAAUUGUCUGCAGGGCUAAUUGUUCUGAAGUUUCCUUAUUUCCAUUGUGUAUUUUACCUGGAGAUAUACAGAAGUGAGGACUUUCCCCCCAGUUAGGUGCCAGGAGGUUUGUGAAGAUAACAACAAAUUAUAUGAGAACUUUUAAGAUGUGGCUGACUGAGAAGGAAUAAUUGUUGAUUUCUAGAUUGGUUAUUUACCUUUUGUGGCUGGUUGUUUCAAUUAAUUCACCAGUUUUAUUCAAUUAUUUGAUUCCAAAGAGUGGUUCUAAAUUAAAAACAACCAUCUUGCCUAAAAUUGUCCUUGGACAUUGAGGGCCUAACACCUUCUGGUUAUGGUUGUGUACAUGGCUGAUAUCCCAGGUACCCUUUGCCUGGUGCUCUCUCAAGUGUAAGCCUUGAUGGUUUUGCAGGCCUGAGCACCCUUUUAUCUCCAUUUUCUCAGCUGUUGCUGAUGAGUACAGAAGUUUAGUUAUUUGGCUCACGCCUGUAAUCCCAGCACUUUGGGAGGCCAACGCGGGUGGAUCACGAGGUUAGGAGUUCGAGACCAGCCUGGCCAACAUAGUGAAACCCCAUCUCUAGUAAAACUACAAAGAUAAGCCGGGCGUUGUGGCGGGCGCCUGUAAUACCAGCUACUCAGGAGGCUGAGGCAGGAGAAUUGCCUGAACCUGGGAGGCGGAGGUUGCAGUGAGCCCAGAUUGUGCCGCCACACUCCAGCCUGGGCCACAGAGUGAGACUCCGUCUCAAAAAAAAAAAAAAAAAAGGAAGUGGAUACAUAAUUUUUGCUGGCUAGGUCAUGCCUGUCUCUGCAAACAUGCAGCUAUUACAAGAUCUAGAUAUGUGAUUAGAUAUGAAAAGACCACCCCAAACAAUGGACUGUCAUACAAUCCAUAAAGGGUGCUUUAUUCAUUUUUUCCCCUUUAAUUUAACAGGAGGAGAAAAGAGCUAUGGUAGGAAUUAACUGUAAAAGUAGCUGCAAAAUAGCCAAGAUUCAGGCUAUAUAAAAUUUGCUGCAAAGAAAACCAAAAUACAGGCUGUAUAAGUAGUAACCCAGUUGUUCUACCCCAUAUGUGGGACACAAAGAGUUUGGAAGGCAAAACGUUAGAUACCUAACUCUGAAAGACAGUUCUAUGACUAUUUAGAAAAAGAUGUGUUUUUUUCUGCACUGUCUUUGCUCCUCCAACUUUUCUAAAAACUAUAAAUAUGAAUCAUUUUAUCUUGAAAACAUGCAUAUUGGUUAAAUCAAACAUCAAUAAAUCAUAAAUCCUGUCAGCCUGCCCCA
rnacentral:lncRNA from 1 species